rnacentral:rRNA from 1 species
AUUGAACGCUGGCGGCAGGCUUAACACAUGCAAGUCGAACGAGCGGCGGGCGGGGGUGUAUUGUCCGGGAAACUGCUUGAUGGAGGGGGAUAACUACUGGAAACGGUAGCUAAUACCGCAUACCAUCAGAUGUGCACAGAUUGGAUUAGCUGGUGGGUGGGGUAAUGGCGCACCUAGGCGACGAUCCGUAGCGGGUCUGAGAGGAUGACCAGCCACUCUGGAACGGGGACACGGCCCAGAUUCUUCCGGGAGGCGGCAGUGGGGAAUAUUCCACAUUGGGCACAAUCCUGAUGCAGCCAUGCCGGGUGUGUGUAGAAGGCCUUCGGGUUGUAAAGCACUUUCAUCGGGGAGGCGUUACCCGCAGAAGAAGCACCGGCUAACUCCGUGCCAGCCGCCGCGGUAAUAC